rnacentral:rRNA from 1 species
AGCUUGCUCUUAUGAAGUUAGCGGCGGACGGGUGAGUAACACGUGGGUAACCUGCCCAUAAGACUGGGAUAACUCCGGGAAACCGGGGCUAAUACCGGAUAACAUUUUGAACCGCAUGGUUCGAAAUUGAAAGGCGGCUUCGGCUGUCACUUAUGGAUGGACCCGCGUCGCAUUAUCUAUUUGGUGAGGUAACGGCUCACCAAGGCAACGAUGCGUAACCGACCUGAGAGGGUGAUCGGCCACACUGGGACUGAGACACGGCCCAGACUCCUACGGGAGGCAGCAGUAGGGAAUCUUCCGCAAUGGACAAAAGUCUGACGGAGCAACGCCGCGUGAGUGAUGAAGGCUUUCGGGUCUUAAAACUCUGUUGUUAGGGAAGAACAAGUGCUAGUUGAAUAAGCUGGCACCUUGACGGUACCUAACCAGAAAGCCACGGCUAACUACGUGCCAGCAGCCGCGGUAAUACGUAGGUGGCAAGCGUUAUCCGGAAUUAUUGGGCGUAAAGCGCGCGCAGGUGGUUUCUUAAGUCUGAUGUGAAAGCCCACGGCUCAACCGUGGAGGGUCAUUGGAAACUGGGAAACUUGAGUGCAGAAGAGGAGAAUGGAAUUCCAUGUGUAGCGGUGAAAUGCGUAGAUAUAUGUAGGAGCACCACUGGCGAAGGCGACUUUCUGGUGUGUAGCAGACGCUGAGGCGCCACAACAGCCGGGAGGGACCACGAGGAUAUAAGAUCCUAGUCCACGCCCUACACAAUCAGUGAUGACU